rnacentral:tRNA from 1 species
ACCACGGAGCCCCGUGGUAUCGCAUUGGGCUAGAAUGCCGAAGACGCUGGUUCGAAUCCAGCCGGUG